UCCGUAGGUGGAUAAUUAAGUCAGAGGUGAAAUCCUGCAGCUCAACUGUAGAAUUGCCUUUGAUACUGGUUAUCUUGAGUCAUUAUGAAGUGGUUAGAAUAUGUAGUGUAGCGGUGAAAUGCAUAGAUAUUACAUAGAAUACCAAUUGCGAAGGCAGAUUACUAAUAAUAUAUUGACACUGAUGGACGAAAGCGUGGGGAGCGAACAGGAUUAGAUACCCUGGUAGUCC
rnacentral:rRNA from 1 species